AUUGAACGCUGGCGGCAGGCCUAACACAUGCAAGUCGAACGAGUGGCGGACGGGUGAGUAAUGUCUGGGAAACUGCCUGAUGGAGGGGGAUAACUACUGGAAACGGUAGCUAAUACCGCAUACCAUCGGAUGAGCCCAGAUGGGAUUAGCUAGUAGGUGGGGUAACGGCUCACCUAGGCGACGAUCCCUAGCUGGUCUGAGAGGCUGACCAGCCACACUGGAACUGAGUCACGGUCCAGCAUCCUACGUGAGGCAGCAGUGGGGAAUAUUGCACAAUGGGCGCAAGCCGGAUGCAGCCAUGCCGCGUGGAUGAAGAAGGCCUUCGGGUUGUAAAGUACUUUCAGCGGGGAGGCGUUACCCGCAGAAGAAGCACCGACUAACUCCGUGCCAGCAGCCGCGGUAAUUC
rnacentral:rRNA from 1 species